rnacentral:rRNA from 1 species
UUCUGGCUCAGGAUGAACGCUAGCUACAGGCUUAACACAUGCAAGUCGAGGGGCAUCAUGAUCUGUGCUUGCACAGGUUGAUGGCGACCGGCGCACGGGUGAGUAACGCGUAUCCAACCUUCCCCGCAGCAGGGAAUAGCCCGGCGAAAGUCGGAUUAAUGCCCUAUGUUUUCCUUUGAGAGCAUUUGAUUUGGAACAAAGAUUUUUCGCUACGGGAUGGGGGAUGCGUCCGAUUAGCUUGACGGCGGGGUAACGGCCCACCGUGGCAUCGAUCGGUAGGGGUUCUGAGAGGAAGGUCCCCCCACAUUGGAACUGAGACACGGUCCAAACUCCUACGGGAGGCAGCAGUGAGGAAUAUUGGUCAAUGGUCUGACGACUGAACCAGCCAAGUAGCGUGCGGGAUGACUGCCCUAUGGGUUGUAAACCGCUUUUGCAGGGGAAUAAAGUCAGGAACGUGUUCCUGUUUGCAUGUACCCUGAGAAUAAGGACCGGCUAAUUCCGUGCCAGCAGCGGC